CUUGUCAGUGUUACUCUGGUUACAGGCCCAUACCAACCAUUCCACAAGUGUGUAUUGAUAUAGAUGAAUGUCAAGCUUCAGUAAACCCUUGUGGUCAGUUAAACUGUUGUAAUGAAGCUGGUAGAUUUAGAUGUAUAACAAACAGUCAAUGUGAUUGGUCAGCUAGAUAUUAUCACCAACGACAACAACCGGGAAUAAAUCCAUUUUUAUUAUUGUCCCUAUUAAGAGGCGAAAUGUAAUCCA